GGUAAUUCCCAGCUCCAAUAGCAUAUAUUAAAGUUGUUGCAGUUAAAAAGCUCGUAGUUGAAUAUCUGGUAUAACGUACCUGGCCCGCAGCCUUUAGGCUUGUGUGUGCCGGCGCACGUUUGCCAUCUUUCUAGAAAACGGGUCUGCCAUUAACUUGGUGGGUUCGGGAUCUAGAUCAUUUACUUUGAAAAAAUUAGAGUGUUUAAAGCAAGCAAUUGCUCUGAAUACAUUAGCAUGGAAUAAUAAUCUAGGACUUCGGUUCUAUUUUGUUGGUUUCUAAAACUGAAGUAAUGAUUGAUAGGGACAGUUGGGGGUGCUAGUAUUGGCCGGCCAGAGGUGAAAUUCUUGGAUUCGGUCAAGACUAACUUAUGCGAAAGCAUUCACCAAGGAUGUCUUCUUUAAUCAAGAACGAAAGUUGGGGGAUCGAAGACGAUCAGAUACCGUCGUAGUCUCAACCAUAAACUAUGCCAACUAGGGAUGGGUGAACGUUGCUUUUUCGACUUCAUCCGCACCUUAUGAGAAAUCAAAGUCUUUGGGUUCCGGGGGGAGUAUGGUCGCAAGGCUGAAACUUAAAGGAAUUGACGGAAGGGCACCACCAGGAGUGGAGCCUGCGGCUUAAUUUGACUCAACACGGGAAAACUUACCAGGUCCGGACAUAGUGAGGAUUGACAGAUUGAAGAUCUUUCUUGAUUCUAUGGGUGGUGGUGC
rnacentral:rRNA from 1 species